AAGGAUAAAUAAGAUUGAUGAACCUCUAGCCAGGCUCACCAAGAAGCAAAGUGGACCCAAAUAAACAAAAUCAGAAAUGAAAGAGGUGAAAUAGCAACCAAUCUUACAGAAAUACAAACGAUUAUGAAAAAAUACUCUGAACAAUUCUAUUA